rnacentral:rRNA from 1 species
GACGAACCGUACGAACGUUAUUCUGAAUUACUGGGCUUAAAGGGUGCGUAGGCUGCGCAGUAAGUUGGGUGUGAAAUCCCUCGGCUUAACCGAGGAACUGCGCCCAAAACUACUGUGCUCGAGGGAGACAGAGGUGAGCGGAACUUAGGGUGGAGCGGUGAAAUGCGUUGAUAUCCUAAGGAACACCGGUGGCGAAAGCGGCGUACUGGGUCUUAUCUGACGCUGAGGCACGAAAGCUAGGGGAGCGAACGGG